GUAAAAACUAUGAUAAGGAAUAGUAGUGAACGAAGCGAGCUAAGAGAGUUGACGGUUGGUGCGAGUCAGCAAACGAGCGUUCAUGAACUCACCUUGGAGUUGUAAAUGUGAAGUAAAGUAACAUUUGCCGUCUAUCCGCGUUAAGGAAAAUGAGUGAGUACAUAAUUGUGCUAAUUUGGGUGGUACCGCGGGAAGUUUAUUCAACCUCUCGUCCCUUUG
rnacentral:ncRNA from 2 species